GUCUACACCAUAAGAAAAACAAGUGUCACUCUUCUCAUGGCCCUCCUCCAGAGGGAUAAACAGAAGAGAUAUUCGGCUCUCCUGAUGCCUUGGUAACACACUGGACCAAUACUGUUGUACCUGAACAACUACACAACAUCUAUUUAAAUAUUAAACUGUACAUUGUCUAUUACCGACUUACCUCAAGCUUAAGUUAAAACAGCAUACAACACAUUAAAAGUACAGCUCUCCACUUGUGGGACAAUAAUAUUUCACUAUUUUGUAAAAUGUUAACCAUUUAUGGCUCUAUGACAAACUUGCACUGUGCUCCAGUCCUGGUUUAGGUGGGUUUUAACUGUCUGGUGGCCGUCGUCUUAUGAAAAAUUACUACAUACAGUUUAAUUCUACAGUGAGUUGGUCUUGUAUGUGCACUUUAUUAUAUGCCAUGACUGGAGGAAGCAUGUGAAUGACUAAGAGUGCAACAGAAAUCAUCAUUCAUACUCUAUACGCACAAAUAUAUUGAGUCUUAUGGUAAUUUUCUGUAUGUCACUGCCUGGUUUAUAACAUUUCAUUCUCAUG